UACGUAGGGGGCAAGCGUUGUCCGGAUUUAUUGGGCGUAAAGAGCGUGUAGGCGGCCAGGUAGGUCUGCUGUGAAAACUCGAGGCUUAACCUCGAGCUGUCGGCGGAAACCAUCUGGCUAGAGUCCGGAAGAGGAGAAUGGAAUUCCCGGUGUAGCGGUGAAAUGCGCAGAUAUCGGGAAGAACACCCGUGGCGAAGGCGGCUCACUGGGACGGUAUUGACGCUGAGACGCGAAAGCGU
rnacentral:rRNA from 1 species